UGCAGAGUGAAAGUUGGACUGUGUGGGCAACGUUUUCCUAGCAACAAUGCCAUUGUAGCAGCUGCGAAGGACCACGUGCCAGAUAAGUCUCUCUUCUGAAGGCUCAAAGCUUUUACAACAGUGGAAUAAUUAUUCUGUGUGUGGGGAAAGGGAGGCAGGGUGACCAUGGCUGCUGCAGCCCACAUCCAGAACUGCUGGCAGAAGCUUGCUGUUUGCCUCAGCUUUUAAGGGAGCAAACCCAUCUUACAUCUGCUAAGCACCCUUCCUUCACAGAAAUCCACUGAUUUCAUAAGCCCUGCCUCUGCCUUGUGCAACGACUGGCUGGAAGGGCAAGUCAGUAUUGCUCACGCUGAGGUUUGGCCUUGUAAAUACAGGUAGCCUGCUGCAGACCCGUUGCUUGUGCCAGGGGUCAGCAUAAGCAACGCUUGGAGUUUGCUUUUUCAGAGGGAGCUUUCUGUCCUAGCAAUUUGUUUUGGCCUUGGACCCCUUCUCUGCUGCUGUGAGCUUAACAAGAUCCUCUGUCAUUCUCCAGGGAAGCUUUCAAGCUCGCUGCUGCGGGUUUGAAUUGGCUUUAAAUAAAAGGUGUUCUGUUUCUGAAGUGCCCUGCCCAAGGGCUCCGGAGCACACUGCGUGCAAUCCAAACAGCCAGCAGACAAAGCUGUUCCAGGUGAAGUGCCCGAGCGUGAUGACGUGGCAGAGAGCUGCAGGGAAGCGUUUGCAAUUGAGUCCCAAAGGAAGAAGGCUUUGUCUGAAAACCCACCGUCUGCAGGUGGUGGCUGAGUGUCAAGGUCGGGGCUGUGCCCCUCUGCCUGCACGGUGCCUCUGUGCUGAUCACCCUGCUUGGCUGAAGGAGAUGCAAAGGGGGAGAAGCAGAGGGUUCUGUCUGUCUGUCAGCUGCCUUCAGAAGGGUCCUGCUGGCUCCUUGCCUCUGCUCGGAUCGUGCCGGUCUGUGCCAGACUCGGAGGUCCUGAGGAGGAGAGAAGACACGAGUUCAGCAUGUGCACGGUGAGCAGUUCAGCAUAAGGAAACAUCACCGAUGCCAUUAUCUCUGCUGCCAGUCCUGCCUGGUAAACCUGCUCCUUCCAGGAUGGCUGAGCCCAGGGUGCAAACCACAUCCCUCAGCAGCUGUGCAGAGCUUGCACUCAAUAGCCACGUUCCAGGUUCUCAGAACACCCACGGCUGCUUAAAAACCAUGGAGUGAAGAGAUGCCAUGUAAGCAUUAUUGGGGAGCUGUGUGUGUUCCUGGUUUUCGGAGCGCUGUAGCUUUGCUGUUCUUCAAGUGCAGUGUAGAGGAUGCAAGGCUUGCUGAAAUGAAGCUGUUUCUGUGGAGGAAUACCGCAGCUGAAGGAGUGACGUGGAAAACCCUUCCCAAAGACCAGAGGUGGAGAUGCUCACCUGGAUGGGAGGGGAGGAUGUUGGCAGUAGGAGCGGAGUGGAGCCAAGGAGGAGGGAUGCUGAAAUGCAGGAGCUGUUGCUCUGAGCUGCAGAGAUGCUGUACCGAAGCUCUGACAUGCUGAGCCCUGUCCAAUUCCUCCAAAGCACGCUGUUCCAUGUACCUUUGAGAUGCCAGCUCCUCCAGGGUGAGGUGGGCUGUGCAGCAGAGCUGUCCCCGCUCACACUGUAAUCCUCAGCCCUCAGCUGUCAGCGUCUCGGAUGAGUUCUUGGAGGGUAUCCAGACAAACACAGGAGAGAUUUCAACUGCUGCGAUCCCCUGUCCUAUUUUAUCUCAUUUCUGACAGCCCAUGUCUGCUGAGGCUGGGAAGUGGUGAGGAGACGAGAGCAGCUUCCUGCAUUUGUGGAUGGAGAAGCACUCCUUCCUCUGACAGCCUGCUUGCUUUGCCUGUUUCCUGCAGUACUGAUGCACUGUCUCUUGCCUUCUGGACCAGCUGCAUCUUCAGGACAACGUCCCAGAUGGCUCUUUUAGGGAAAGAAAUCAGAGACUGAUUGGUGGCCAAAAAAAGUCUCUCAUCCAGUAUCAAAGCUUUAGCUGCACCUUAUGCUUCCCAAGGACGGCUUGGAAAGGGCACAGUGGAGCUGCUGCUGAUCCUCUUGCACCGGGCUCAGGGGGUAUCUGGAGAAACCCUGUGUUUCCAGAUAAGGACGUGCUGGAUUUACAGUUGCCUACCACUGUUAAUGCAUCCUCGUCUGCGUGGUCGUGUGAAGGUUGCUUUCCCGUUGACCAGAGGGAGACCCGUGGCUCAUCUGUGCACCCUUCUUAGAGCUGCUGAAGAGACUCAGAAUGGGGUGAUGGCCCCAUGCUCCUUCCUGGGGUCUCCUCUUCCUCAAGAGCCAGCGCAGGCCAGCUAAUGUCCAGGUGCAAAGGGUGCACCGCCCUCUGCCAUGCCAUCUACCUGGUGAUAUCAAGGCCAAGAGCGUCACGUUCUGGAUGUUCAUAAAUUACAAGGGAAACAGCUUUCUUCCUUCACCCCUUGAACUUUUAUUCAUUCCUCCAUUGUGUUAAUGAAUACGUGGUCUAAGCUGUAUGUCAGUCCCUGUUCUUGCGUGCUGUAGAUGAGGCUGGCUUGUCAGCGCUUGGCCUCCUUUUGCCAUCAGCUCGAGCGGAGCUGUUACACGUUAGUUCUCCAGCAGCAUUUUGAUUACCUCUCAUAACACAACGCUGUCAAUGCAGACUGACCAAUACAGCAAUUCAAUGAGCGUGUUGCUCUUGACAAGCCUUAUUUGCCCUGGAUAAGUCAGGUGGAAUAUCUUCAGCUGCAGGUAAUAGGCAGUAACAUCCUCUCUGUGUGUUAGCUGAAGGUUUCCUGGUCUCUGUUUCACCCGAAGGGGCUUCCUUGUCUCCACUGCAGCAGGAUGCAGAGCCUGAACUAACUCUGAGCAAGGAACUGUGGAGUCCAGAAACAGCAGCUCUGCUUUAAGUGAGGCUCUUGCCCUGGGUAAUCAUCCCAUCCUGAGAAGCACAACGUACUAUCUCAGGCUUCUUCCUAAGGUGUGUUGACCAACGUGCAUUUGAUGUCUUGGAGCUGCCCUGGCAGUGUGUGGGCCAUCAUCCUCAGUGGGGAACCAGAGACAGCAAUCACUGCUAAGUGCCAGAUGAUAGCAUGUUUUGCCGGCUGCUUUGAUGCAUUAUGUUUUCCACCAUCUGUAUUUGCACUGCGUUGGAGGCUUGCUUGCCCUGCAAGGGCUGGGCUGCGAUCCCUCCAGCACUGUGAGCAGCCGGGUGUGGUGUUUAGAGGGUGGAGAGGAGACGUCAAGCUUUCUUGCUUUGCUAUGCCCAUGCCUUGUCUCCCCACACUUGCUCACUUCUCCAAAUAUUGCUGCUCUCAAUGAACUCUUAGCAGCUGUCAGUCCCCGUUCCUGAAGCGAUGUGCAGUUCUGAGCUCCCUACAGGUUGGGAUGGUCCUUGUGCUGGCUGCUCCCUGCUCCAAUCCUUGGCCUGUUGUGCUUUUUUAGCCUGCAAAGCCUCCUUCCCAAAUGCUUCUGAAGAAGCCAAAGCAGGGUCUGCUCUGGCAGAAAGAAGCCUGCAGACCUGGAUCCUCUCCCCUCAGCCACUGCAGCCCUGGAUGGUGUUUAUUGGCAGGCAUCGCUCCCAGUGCUCCUGCUCACCUCGUGCUCUCCCAGGAGGAACAAGCUUCACAUGAUGGCUUUGGAAAUAAGUCAGGGCAUGUGUCUUGGGCAGAACGAAAGGAGCUGGAAACCUGAGCUUUGUUUGCAUGCACGUUGUUCCUGGCUUUGGCAGGGAUGAGCCCUGACUCCGUGCAGCUGCCGUGACUGGUUUACUGGGCACAGCAUGAGGUCCCUCCUCCUUGAAGGACAUUCACUGUAUUUUGAAGCCACGACCGCCGGCAGAGGUAAGAUUCGUGCUUCCUGAGAGCAGCAAGCUUUUUCUGCUUGCCUCCCAGCUUGCCAGCUUGGGUGAACAGCUCUGCAGGAGGGCAAGGAGGGGAGCUGCAUGCAAUUACCUGCGAACACUGGGAAGCGGUGAGAGGUCCCGCUAUCAGCCACGGCCCAGCUGUACCGAGUGAGCCUGCUCCCACUAUCCUUGGCUCCUGCAGAUGCACGUGAACCAGGCUGGCUGUGUGCUCCAGGUGGAGGAGAAAAGGAGCCUUUCAUCUGCUCCUCACAGAGCAGGCUGGCAGCCAGCUCACGCCUGCUGUUUGGUUCCCUCUGCCACAGCCGGAUCGGGGAGGUGGGAGCUGAGCAGCUGUGCCCCUCCCCAGGGGUCAGCCCAGGGUGGGAAAUGUUAGGGAUGGGCUCUGCUCCCUGUGUUAGCAAUCAGAUUGGGCUGUGGUGUCACACAGGGGGUCCCUCCUGGAGCCGCUCCCACGAGCCAGGUGAAAGCUAGCUGAUUUAUCAGGUGCUCUUUGGGCUGUGCACCCUUCCCAGUGUCCUUGGGUAUGCGAGCCUGGAUGCAGGCCCUUCUCCUGCCCUUCACAAGGUGUCUCUCCUUCCUACAUGGACACCCUUGCUCCCCGUCGCUGCGGCAGCAUCCUCCUGUGUUGCUGUCUCAGCUGUGCAGGCUCUGCCAAGGCAAUGCUUCCCCUCCUCCCUGCCCACCGUGCUGUGCCAGCGAGCCCAAACCCACUGUGCUGGUCUCCUGAUUUGUUUUGGUUCAUGUUCCAGACGAGGAUAAAGUGGCAGAUAUUUCUGUGCAGCGAUAGGAUCUCACCAGCCAGCCUUGCUUUAAUGCGAUCCCAGGCAUUCGAGGUGCCCGAUUACCUUAUCUCCCCUCUGCAGAUAUACCUUACUCACCCCUCUCAACCUAAAAACGAGCCAGCCCGGGUGGGAGCUGCAGAAACUCGGCCUCUGCAGCCCUGCAGGCAAAUGGUCGGGCAGAAAGCAGUGAGUGAGGCUCCCACCCUGUGUGCUUUUGCUGCAUGAGGUUCCCUUCUUUCUGCUUGCAGCUCUGUGCUGCAGCGGGGUGGCUGGGAAGGCUGCGUCACAGCUGACUCACAGUGCUGGCACGGCGGGAGCCCCACGCACUGGUUGCCCCCCACUCACUGGUUGCCCCCCAGCUCCACAGGGGCACCUGUUUGCUCCCUGGCUUUGCAGUUCAGCAGUCCCUGAGAUGGGCCUGAGGUUGCUGCACGCAGGGGCAGUGAGGCUGUGCCUCGUCCCAGCCUUCCCAGCUGCAUCUUGCUGCUCUCCCUCUGUCACAUGAGCAUUACACCAUCUCUCCCUUGGAGAAUGAGCGUGGAACGUGUCUGGUUGCCAGAGCAAAGUGAAAUCUGCUCCAGCUUCAAACGCAUGCAAUCCCAAGCUGUGCGCUUUGGGUAAAUGCUAAAUCCUAUCUCUGGUUCAUAAAGAGGGGAGAUUGAUGCUGAAGCACGGCGUGGGCACCAAACACCCCAUGCUUUGCAGCUCUCGGGUCUCCUGGAAGCUCCUUGAUUCAAAGGGAAACGUCCCCAGCCAGUGUGAGUCACAGGGCAUAGGUGGGCCGGGUCAGCCCUGAGCAAACACUCAGAUAUAGGGGUGAGGAUUGCUCCAUCAGAUGGCCAAAAAGCUGUUGGUGGCAGAACAGCCUCUGCGAGCAGGCAGUGCAGAAAAAUAAGUGCAAAAUGGAAGGGGGGAGAGAGAGGGGGGGGAGCUGGAAAUCCACGGCUCAACAGCAGCUCAUCCAAUACAGAGCCUUGAAAAGAUAGGGAUUUUGAAGGGAGGUGAAAAGAUGUAAUGAGAAACUGCAUGGGAAUUUCUAGCAGUGAGGAGGAGGAACUGAAUGAUAGCAUAUUGGGAGGGGGGGGGGGGGGGAGGAGGGAAGAGUCCAAAAGCUCUUAGCUAUAGGAAUAUAGGAAUUGGGAGAGUGGAGUGCAUGUUUUUGUAAUCUGAUGGGGCUGAUGCCAUUCCCACGUGAUGUGCAUGGAUCUGCUUCCAUUCCUGCAGCACUGGGCAGUGCAGGGGCUCUGGGUCACCCCCAUUGCCUGUGCCCAGGUCCUGAGCUCCGGGCAGCACAGCUCAGCUGCCCACCAGCUCCGUGGAAUAUGGUCGAUGGAGGUUUUUCUUUUUGUGGGGUUAUGUAAUGAUUGACCUCGUGGAAAUGGGUCUUAUGAAAGCAUGGAAUCGGCUUAGCUUGCGGACGGCUCGAGCUGCCACGCAGGAGAUGCUAUCGAUGCUGUUAGGAAUUCACACUUUUGUACGGUUGGAAAGCAUUUGACUCCACCUCAUUGUGUCUUGGCUGGACAAAUAGGCCUGGGUCACAGCUAUAUCUUUCCCUGGACCAGGCUGAGCUGUGUGCCAGCAGCCGGCUGACUCACAGAGCAGCUCCAGGUCUGCCCGUGGCCGUGCAGCCGGAGCUAUCGUGCCUGCCUCUGCCAUAGGAGCCCCGUGUGCAGGAGCUGCAGGGAGGAGAGGCAGCGCUCUGCCAUCCUUCUGAGCAGAGCAGAUGAACCCACACCUAAUUGCUUUUAAAAACUCCCUGUUGCUAUGGUGACUCAACAAGCGUGAUGCUCUCAAGUGCUUCUCUCCACUCCCAGGUCUUGCGUUGGCACCGGGAAGCUGUGUGUGUACCUAUGUACGUACAUCUGCUUUCUUCCAGCUUUCAAAGGUGGCAUCCAGUCCCCUUGGAGCGUGAGCAGAAUCCCUUCUGAGCUGGGGAAAGGUUUGCUUGAAAGGUCUUGUAAUAAGGUUAAGGAGAGGCCAGCAGCCGCUCGCCCUGCUGCUGAGCACUUCAGUAGCUAAAUUUAGUCCCUUGAGUCAUUACUGAGUCAGCAAAUUGGGGGCAGGAAAUCUUGAUUUCUCUUCUCUUCCUUUUUCAUCAGCGACGGAUCCAAGACGGGCUCCACACUGCUUUCUCUCUCAAUCCAGCACGCUGCCUCCCGCACUGCUUUCCCCUGGAGCAUCCUUGAGCCUGGCCAGAAGAAGUCAGAGCUCCUUUCCUCUCUGCUGCAGCCACCUGCCCUGACAAGUGGCCUGUCCUCGGGGAAGCGGCAUCGUUUCCUAUCGUUAGUGAUGCGGGGCACGGGAAGCUGUGUCCACUCAGCUUUGUCUCUUGCUGGGUGCACACUGGCCGAGGCCGGUGGCAGCUCAUGCAUCCCCUGGAGCUGCCUUGAAACCCAGUGAUGGGUAAAGAAACCCCAUCCAGCUGCUCUUCUCUGUGCCUGCGAGUGCCUCAGCAUGGUGAAUAGCAACGGAAGAGCUCAGGAGAAACAAGCAUGAGUGGUAGAAAUAAGCAGCAUCAAGAGAUCCAGCAAGCGAAGGAUGAAAAAUCAGAGUAACGGCCAAGGAGACGACAUCCACUUGACUUCUCUUGCCCGUGGUGUGAGCAAUUAAUCCAGCUAAGGCAUGGCAGUGGAAUGAGGCCAGGAGCAGCAGGAGGACGGCGCUGCACCGGCAGCAGCAAGCGGGACCGGACAUCUUCCUCUGCCACGCUGCCCCGACCUUUGUGGUGAGGUUGUGCAUGGAGAAAUGUGCUGAACCACCCCGUUGCCAUGGAAACCAAGGCCGAGAGGGGACCAGCCUGCUCCUGCUAAUUGCUGUGGCUUUGUGACCCCAUCCGUCCAUCCUGCUGCCUCCCGUGAGCCUGUCCGAAUGCACAGCGCUGGCCCCAUCCUGCAUCAUCCUGCCCUUUGGCUCCCAGCCCCAAUGCUGUGAGCACGAUCUGGGGUUCCUCUUUCUCUCCUUUGUGUUGUCACAACCUGCACAAGAUCAGUUAAAAUCCGUGGCUUGAGCAUCCCUGCAGCCCAUCACCCCGUGCAUGCACAUCUGCCUGCAUGCUUGUUGCAGGAGCACGGUGGCGGUGCAGUGAUGCACCUCCCUUGCCCUGCAUCCCGGGCUGCCCUGCCUUUAUCUCGUCCAAUUAAAUAACUGCAGAUAGUGGGCUUAAUAAGGCCCUGCUAUGAAAGAUUACUGACGAUUUCUUUCCCAACGUGCGGUGAAUUAGGAGGCAGUGAGCAGGGAAAGGACUGCUGCUAAUUACAGUCCCCCAUGUCCCCUCUGCUGCCACCACUGCUGCUGGGCCCCUCGCUGCUCCCUGCACCUGAUUGCAUUUUGCUGCUGGUUGUGGCCAAUUUGCAGCUCUCAGCUGCUGCUGCUUCUCCCUUCCCCCCACACCCCCUGCUCCUCUUCGAGUUUAUUAAUGAAAACCUUAUCUGUCGGUGCAGAUAAUGCCAGAAAUAAUUAGUGCACACGGAGGGCUGGCAGGCUGCUCUCUGCUCCCACCACCCACACCCUCUCCUCUCACUGUUUACAGUUUCCUGUGCUGCUUGGGGCUGCUUUUUGGGUUUUUAAGCCUCCUUGCUCUGUACAGAUUUAUUUGCUUCUCUCUCUCUCUCCAAGUUUUCCUUGCUCAGAAAGAGACAGACAGACCUGAGGCACAGAUGCAUCCUAAAGAGCUUGACCUUAAGCACCUGGGCUGCAGGUGCCCUGACCUUAUGGCUGCUGGAAAUGGGGAGCUGCCCCCCAAUGCCCAAGAGCAGGGAUUGCAUUUGCUCCUGGCAUGCUCUGGUCAGGUCAUGGCCCUGCUCCUGCUGCGCCAGCGCCGUCCUCGCUUUGCUCGUGCUCCCUUUCAUUACACUUAGCAUCAUUGUCUCUUGGCUUAAAUCUUUCAGCCUGAUAAAGGACGACAGCGCUGCUCGAGUGCCUGGGAUGGCAUAAAUAAUUCCAGUGCUGAGAGAGAUUUACAGCUAUAUAAAUGUCAGGAGUGAGCCCAGUUUGUAUUAAUGGCCUUAUUAGUUACAUUGCUGUAAAAUACAGAUCCUCCAAUUGUUAAGCGGCCGUGGUUUUGGUCCACAGCAUUAAUCCAAUAAAUUUGGGCUUCUCAAUACGAAUCUUCGUCUCUGAACCCCACUGGAAAAUCCUUCAUGGUAUGUCAGAGAGCUUUAAAUGGCUGUGGCUGAGACAGAGGUGGGAAUAACAGAGCUGGUGGGAGCGCAGGUGUAAGGCAGUGCAGCAGCCCAUCCCCACCCAAGGGCAUGGGAAGUGUGGAGGUCCCUUGGCCGUGAGGAGCUGUGGGGUGGGAUUGGUGCUUUUGUCACCAGCUUGGAAACCACAGCCCAACCCAAGAGCUCCCAUGGCUCUGAGAUGUCCGUCCGUCCUUCCCACCCUGCUGCCAUCCCUCCCUGUUCCCUGGUGCAUCUCGUAUGAGGACGUUCUGCAACUCUGCAAACUUUCCACCAGCGACCUGCCAAGUGCAUGGGGAGGGAGAGGGGAAAGCACCACGAUAAUUGAAAAUAAAUGGUGCAUUAUAUGAAAUAAAUGUUCUGGUGCAGCCAGCUUGCUGUCGCUGAUUAUUUAUUUGUUACUUGCAAAUGCUUUGAGGAGGUGCCUGGGGAAGAGGGGUUUUGGAGAUAAAGUGGUGAUGCCUUCGUGCAGAGGGAGCUAUGGGGCAUGGGAGGCUGUGUGCGUCC
ensembl:lncRNA